rnacentral:rRNA from 1 species
UACAGAGGGUGCGAGCGUUAAUCGGAAUUACUGGGCGUAAAGGGCGCGUAGGCGGCCUUCUAAGUCAGACGUGAAAUCCCCCGGCUUAACCUGGGAACUGCGUCUGAUACUGGAAGGCUUGAGUGCGGGAGAGGGAUGUGGAAUUCCAGGUGUAGCGGUGAAAUGCGUAGGUAUCGGGAGGAACACCGGUGGCGAAGGCGGCGACCUGGGUAGAUACUGACGCUGAGGUGCGAAAGCGUGGGGAGCAAACAGG